rnacentral:rRNA from 1 species
CUACGUGCCAGCAGCCGCGGUAAUACGUAGGGGGCAAGCGUUAUCCGGAUUUACUGGGUGUAAAGGGAGCGCAGACGGUUGCGCAAGUCUGAAGUGAAAUCCCGAGGCUUAACCACGGGACUGCUUUGGAAACUGUGCGACUUGAGUAUCGGAGGGGCAGGCGGAAUUCCUAGUGUAGCGGUGAAAUGCGUAGAUAUUAGGAAGAACACCGGUGGCGAAGGCGGCCUGCUGGACGAAAACUGACGUUGAGGCUCGAAGGCGUGGGGAGCAAACAGGAUUAGAUACCCUGGUAGUCCACGCGGUAAACGAUGAAUACUAGGUGUUGGUGCCCCAAGGGCAUCGGUGCCGUCGCAAACGCAAUAAGUACCCCGCCUGGGGAGUACGACCGCAAGGUUGAAACUCAAAGGAAUUGACGGGGGCCCGCACAAGCGGUGGAGUAUGUGGUUUAAUUCGACGCAACGCGAAGAACCUUACCAGGUCUUGACAU